AUGGAAGAGAAUGAAUUGUAUGAUGCCAGUAAACAAGUCUAUGCGGAAUCCAUGAAAGGGGUAGCUGCAUGUUUGAAUGCUUUUCAUACCAUCUCCCAUCCAAGUGUACAAAAAAUAAUAUCUUGGUUCUAUUUGUCAUAUUUAGUAGCAGUUCUCAGAGGUGUCCAAUUUGAGGUCCAGUUGGUGGAGUCUGUUGGGGAUGUGAGAAGACCUGGAGAGUCCCUCUGUCUGUCCUGCCAAGCAUCAGGAUUCAACUUUGGUGGGAGUAAUGUGAACUGGCUGAGGCAGACCCCAGGGAAAGACCCAGAAUGGGUGGCUUGGAUACAAAGUGAUGGAGGAGAAACCUACUACUUGAACAAAGUGAAGGGACGCUUCACCAUCUCCAGAGACAAUGCCAAAAGCCAGAUGUAUCUGCAAAUGAACAGCCUGAAACCAGAGGACACAGCAAUCUAUUACUGUGCAAGAUACACAUUGGGAGGAAGUGAAUCUGAAACCAUCUCAUAUACCAGCAGGAAAGCUUUUCCCUUGCUGCUCUAG